CAGGAAUCACGAGUAGCCGUCUUGAUGUAACAGCAAGAGGUAGCUUUAUUUGCGGGAUCCCGGGUCGAUACGUAUCCCACACAGGAGACAGAGGAAUCGACCCCGAGCUCCCAAACUCAGGGGUUUUUAUAGGGGAGGGCUAUCUGAGAGGUGCCUGGUCCCAUGCUGCACGGAAGUGAGACAUCCAGGUGACCACUGUGCUGACAAAGCUGGGAUCACAUUGCCAGUCCACCACUGGGAUCUACUCAGUAGUCACGAGAUUCCCCGAAGCUGGGCCUGCUGGGCUCUGUCAGCGUCCAGCAUCCAUCGACGAGCACCCAGGUGUCUCUGCAUCAUCGCCCUGUGAUGCUUCUAAGUCUCACCUACCAGGAUGCUCCUGCAGCAAGGAGGUCAGGCCUUCCAGAGGGCUGCCUGGGGCUUAAGUCGACGGUGGACUUCAUCACCACUACUUUACGGUACAUGCAGGUGCUGAACACCUUGACUUUUGGACACCGGUUUACUCAAGGCCGUCAAGGUUGAAAUGCACCUGUCUUAGCUGGAUGGUGGUGGCACAUGCUUUAGUCAGGAGGAAGAAGACGGGGAUCUCAGUUCUGGGAUAUCCUGGUCUACAGAGCUGUAGAUGUCCCGCUCUUGUCUUGCACCCCAGCCAAAUCCCAUUACCGACCUGAGGGCCAGGAACAGCAGUGUGUCUAUGCAACUUCCUCCAGGGACAUUUCCGGGCAGCCCAGGCCAUCUUCAGUGUUCCAUGAAUCCCAGUUUAAGAAAGAGCACGUGCGACCUGCCUGACUGGAAUUUGUUUGUGUACAAGAAGAGACGGGGACAGAGACACAGACAGAACCUCACAGUGCAUGGACGUCAAGGAGUCAUCAGGAUGCGAGGCCAGAUCUCCAACCCAGGCUGGCCAGAGUCUCCGGGAGGUCCUCGUUGGUUUUGUCUGAUUAGCUAGCCUGUUCCAGAGGCUGAAGCCAGCACUGAAUCCAUGGAAUGAACUUCCCAGAGUUGUGCAUUAUGGGUUGGGGAACAUGGGGUCUAAUGGUGCCCUUCCUGCCUCUGAGAGGGAUAGGACACUCCUCUCUUCUCAAAUCAGACAGGAAAAAAAUGUCUGUCCUCAGAGAGCUUAGUGUUGCUCAGGGGACAGAGUAGAUAAGAAAGAGGAAUGUGUUUCCCAGGGGCAGAAUACUACUGGGACAGGGUGUUGAACUCAGCAGAUAUCCCAGCAGGGUGACUAUGCCAGGAACCUUGUUGUCCUGUGUUCAAAUUAGGAGAGACCGUUGGUCGGAGGGACCAUCCAUGUCAGUCACACGGGCUUCUGUGUGCCUCAGGCUGUGACAGAUGUUGGCACAGUCUAGGGAGAAAGAACACAGGAGAUGACAUCUUACCAAUGUGACAGUGGGAGGGACAGGGAAAGCUUCCCAGAAGCUCUCACAGGAUGUGGGAGGCUGCUUACCAGGGCAAGAGCAAGUAAUGUGCAAAUACUCCGAGAAAUGCAAGCAGCUUUCUGAGUUGUCCAGUUGCGUGCAGACUCCAGGAAGAGAGAUGAAGUUGUCAGGAGACAGGGCCUCAGCAGGUUGCUGCCCUAUCAUGAGGGGCUCAAGUUUCAGCCUGGUUAUAAUAGGCACUACUGGCUUAUGGUGUGGCAGGUGGUGGUGAGUGUGGACUUACGUUGUUAAUGUGAAAUGUGAAUGUUGGCCUUGAAGGAACAAGCUUAGAGAGGCAGGCAGUGGGUUAUUAGAGGGCAGAUUUGGUGGAGAGAGAGGGCACAGCUGCCCCUGCAGUCACUCCACAGCUGUGGUUUUCAUGUGUUUGCUCUGAGGUGGGUCUGAGGCCUCAAGCAAUGUGACCUGUGAUGGGAUGGGGGUGCGGGAGCAGGGGAGGGCAUGUAUAACGUUGGCAGGAGACUGCCCUGUAGAGGAGUCCCACAUGGGCACUUGCAGGCCUCAUUCUUAACCUGGGAACCUGUUUGGGGGCAGUCAGGACAGGCUGACUAGGGAGACUUCUCUGGGGAGAGAAGGCUACCUCCUGAACAAGACCAGGUUUCCUGCAAGAAAUGGAGCAAAUGACAUUACCUUCCCAUAACACAUGAGGAGACAUGUGUGACUGUUCUUUGCUUCCUGUUUGCCCAGGCUGGGGGAGAGAGCAUGGGAUACUGCUCCACAUACAGUUUUAGGACACUUUUACCCUUCAGCCCUCUCCUCUGAGCAAGACCCAGUAAAAUCCGUGCCUCGUUGUC